rnacentral:lncRNA from 1 species
AAUUGGCCCCAAACGACCGCCAAGGAUGGACAUUUUUUAGAAGGCAUCGUAAAAUAAAAUAUCAGCCGAGCUCCCACUGUCGACAAGAAUGCGAUGUACAUCAUAAUUAGCAAUAUUUAAAAAAACUACAACCGCAUCAUUAUGGAGAAACCGAAUCUCUCGGGCAUCUUCUUCAGUAAAGGUUAUGGGUCCUUCGAUUCUUUGCCGCUUGGGCGGUCCGGUCGAUUUGCUGGCCGCUCCCUCCCGGGGCUCUCCAG